rnacentral:lncRNA from 1 species
AUGGCUCGUGUAGGUUCAAAACUGUUAGUCUCUGUAGACUUACAGAAGAAACCAUGGGAGCAGGAGCUACCUCUUCACAACCGGUGGCAUCCAGAGAUACCACCGGUCGCCGAGGCUACAACCGGUGAACUUUUCAAAGUUGAGAUGAUAGAUUUCAGUGGAGGUGCUAUCACUAAUAAUCCCACUGCUGAUGAUGCCAAACAUGCUGAUCUCUCACAAUUUGUCCAUGGCACCAUCAACUCCAAGACUAGUUGUGCCAAUAGACUUGAAAAAGAAGCCAUGUGA